rnacentral:rRNA from 1 species
CACGUAGGGGGCAAGCGUUGUCCGGAUUUAUUGGGCGUAAAGAGCUCGUAGGCGGCUCAGUAAGUCGGGUGUGAAACCUCCAGGCUCAACCUGGAGACGCCACCCGAUACUGCUGUGGCUUGAGUCCGGUAGGGGAGCGUGGAAUUCCUGGUGUAGCGGUGAAAUGCGCAGAGUAUCAGGAGGAACACCAGCGGCGAAGGCGGCGCUCUGGGCCGGAACUGACGCUGAGGAGCGAAAGCGUGGUAGCAAACAGG